UACGGAGGGGGCUAGCGUUGUUCGGAAUUACUGGGCGUAAAGGGCGCGCAGGCGGCGGUUCAAGUCGGGCGUGAAAGGCCUGGGCUCAACCCGGGAAUGGCGCUCGAGACUGGACUGCUCGAGUCCGGGAGAGGAUGGUGGAAUUCCCAGUGUAGAGGUGAAAUUCGUAGAUAUUGGGAAGAACACCGGUGGCGAAGGCGGCCAUCUGGACCGGUACUGACGCUGAGGCGCGAAAGCGUGGGGAGCAAACAGG
rnacentral:rRNA from 2 species